GCGGUGAAAUGCGUAGAUAUCAGGAGGAACACCGGUGGCGAAGGCGGGACUCUGGGCCGAUACUGACGCUGAGGAGCGAAAGCGUGGGGAGCAAACAGGAUUAGAUACCCUGGUAGUCCACGCCGUAAACGUUGGGCGCUAGGUGUGGGGUUCCUUCCACGAACUCCGUGCCGCAGCUAACGCAUUAAGCGCCCCGCCUGGGGACUACGGCCGCAAGGUUAAAACUCAAAUGAAUUGACGG
rnacentral:rRNA from 1 species